CUAGCGGCCCGGCCAUUGUCGAGAGGACGUCUGCGCGGACGGGAGAAGCUUUGCCGGGUCGCCACGAAGAAUGUCGCCGACGGACGCAGCUUCGCUGCCGCUGAAGGACACGGAGGUUUAUCGCUGCGAGCAUUUUGUUUUCACAGACUAACCUCGCCUCAUAACAAGGCCGCGACCUCCUGUUAGCUCGGAGCUAUGUCUGGAAGUCCAGAUUUACACGAUGCCGAUAAUGACGCCAUUGUGUGUAAGUAACUGUUACUGUUUUCUCCCUCGCUUAAUUUUACUGUGACUUACGUUUCUUUAUUCAUACCAGUCUUUAAUUGUUUUCCAGCUGCCUGUAAGUCAUUACGAGGCAGGACAACAAACAAGCAGAUCUUGCAUCGCAGGCGGAGGCUGUGAGGAGUUCAGCUCGGAGUCAGAACAAAGAGGCUGCUGGAAGCGAGCCAGAGUGCUAGCUGAGGAUGAGGUGGACCUUUGGAAGUGCGCCGCCAUGGACCUGAUGUCUGAGGAGGAAGACGGCACAAGAUGGCGGGUGUCUGGAUGAAUUGUGCGACCUCCGUCCUUUCGCAGCCGGGAGCUCACCAAGCUCUGCGCCACGCUGCAGUCACAUGAGAGGCGAUUCCGAAGUACAGGGCAGCGCACCACAGACGUCUGCAGAAACAGACACUUAGCGGUGCUGUAUGAUUUGGGCCUCUUGUGAGCUUCCCGUUUGUUGUGUGGGCAAAUUAUGCUCUGUACAUGCUGUGUGUUUGUGCUAAUAAAACUCUUUGAAUAAACAACUCCUUCCUGGCAAAUGUUCCUUUCCUCAGUAAAUUCAUUCAUGUCAUUGAUGAUAUCAUAAAUAUAAAUGAAUGAAUAAAUCAAAUAAAUAAAUAAAUAAAUAAAAAAAAAAAAAAAUAUAUAUAUAUAUAUAUAUAUAUAUAUAUAUAUAUAUAUAUAUAUAUAUAUAUUCCCACUGGGGUUUACAUUUAUAAUGACCCAGGGUGACCAAUCACGAGUGAUUUUGCUUGUUUAUGAGUAGUGGUUUCAUCCAAUACUGAGUGAGGAUAUUCAAGCCAGCCACAUUCUCUGGCCAGGCGUGGUUUCGCUGCUAUUCAUAUGCAAAUUGGAGGCGUUCGCACCUCCGGGAGCUCCACUGACGUCAUGGUUCGUUUCCGACAAUUUUCGGCACUGACAAACGCCACAUUCACAACCUGUAAAUUGUCGUUAACUGCCGAAAAUUAGGGAGAUUUUCGGGCGUUUACGGGGCCGAAAAUCCCACUUUUCAUGCAGUGACUGCUGUCACAUGAGAGGCGAUUCCGAAGUACAGGGCAGCGCACCACAGACGUCUGCAAAAACAGACACUUUGCGGUGCUGUAGGAUUUUGGGCCUCUUGUGAGCUUCCCGUUUGUUGUGUGGGCAAAUUAUGCUUUGUACAUAGUUGUGGUGUGUUUGUGUUUGUGCUAAUAAAACUCUUUCUUCGAAUAAACAACACCUUCCUGGCAAAUGUUCCUUUCCUCAGUAAAUUCAUUCAUG
rnacentral:lncRNA from 1 species